CGGCCGGUUUGGCUGUAUUUGGCCUAUGCGAAAACAUAUCCAUAACAAUACCGAUAUAAUUUAGAUAAAAGCAGUGGAAUAGGUACGUACUAGUGUAAUGGUUACUUUGUUAUAAACAGUCAUUCGACAACCAUCGUUAUUAUAAUAUAAUAUAAUAUAUUUGUCGGCUUAUAAUCUUAUUCGGUCUUGUGUAUUAAAUAUUUUAUCAUAAUUUUAUUUUUUUA